CAGUAGCCACGGGAACACGUAGGGUGCGAGCGUUAAUCGGAAUUACUGGGCGUAAAGCGUGCGCAGGCGGUUCGUUAAGACAGAUGUGAAAUCCCCGGGCUUAACCUGGGAACUGCAUUUGUGACUGGCGAGCUAGAGUAUGGCAGAGGGGGGUAGAAUUCCACGUGUAGCAGUGAAAUGCGUAGAGAUGUGGAGGAAUACCGAUGGCGAAGGCAGCCCCCUGGGCCAAUACUGACGCUCAUGCACGAAAGCGUGGGUAGCAAACAGGAUUAGAUACCCCAGUAGUCCCUGUCUCUUAUAC
rnacentral:rRNA from 1 species